rnacentral:rRNA from 1 species
ACGGGAGGCAGCAGUGGGGAAUAUUGCACAAUGGGGGAAACCCUGAUGCAGCGACGCCGCGUGAGCGAUGAAGUAUUUCGGUAUGUAAAGCUCUAUCAGCAGGGAAGAUAAUGACGGUACCUGACUAAGAAGCCCCGGCUAACUACGUGCCAGCAGCCGCGGUAAUACGUAGGGGGCAAGCGUUAUCCGGAUUUACUGGGUGUAAAGGGAGCGCAGGCGGUUUUUUAAGUCUGAUGUGAAAGCCCGCGGCUCAACUGCGGGACUGCAUUGGAAACUGGAGAACUAGAGUGUCGGAGGGGCAAGUGGAAUUCCUAGUGUAGCGGUGAAAUGCGUAGAUAUUAGGAGGAACACCAGUGGCGAAGGCGGCUUGCUGGACGAUAACUGACGCUGAGGCUCGAAAGCGUGGGGAGCAAACAGGAUUAGAUACCCUGGUA